rnacentral:rRNA from 1 species
UACGUAGGGCGCAAGCGUUGUCCGGAAUUAUUGGGCGUAAAGAGCUCGUAGGCGGCUUGUCACGUCGGGUGUGAAAGCCCGGGGCUUAACCCCGGGUCUGCAUUCGAUACGGGCUGGCUAGAGUGUGGUAGGGGAGAUCGGAAUUCCUGGUGUAGCGGUGAAAUGCGCAGAUAUCAGGAGGAACACCCGUAGCGAAGGCGGCACUCUGGGCCGGAACUGACGCUGAGGAGCGAAAGCGUGGGGAGCAAACAGG